rnacentral:rRNA from 1 species
ACGCUCGACACCUACGGGAGGCAGCAGUGGGGAAUAUUGGGCAAUGGGCGCAAGCCUGACCCAGCAACGCCGCGUGAAGGAAGAAGGCUUUCGGGUUGUAAACUUCUUUUGUUCAGGGAACAGUAGAUGAGGGUACCUGACGAAUAAGCUCCGGCUAACUACGUGCUAGCAGCCGCGGUAAUCUGAGCGGGCUGGCAAGGC